UGGGGUUUACGUGUUAAGUCUCCGAGCUGCAGGUGACCACCCAGAGGCCUAACAUUCAGGGAGCAGAGUACCCUGGUCAGCGGAAGUGCCGGCUAACCAAAGGACAACCCACUCGGGAGAACUAGGCAGCUGGUACUCAGGAAUCUUUCAAGCAUCUUGUCUAAUCCCUUCCCUUUGUGUGGCUGAGGAAACAGACGGAUGGAUUAAGCUCCUCAAGGUCACCCAGCAAAGGCAGAUGGAGAAGGCAGCUUCCCAGCUGCUGCCCCACUGUGUGACGUCUCUGAGAUGUAGACUGGCCUGUGAGGAGCUGAAAAUGGGAUUUCACAACCCUUGACACUAGUCACUGAACCACGUGCACCAAGAACAAGUCAGUUCCCAUCUGAACUUGCAAAUGGAUACCAAAUUAGGGGGACACCCAAUAAAACGCUGGGCUGAAGCCCCCAAGCUCCAGAGCAACAGCUUGCCUCUCCUUCCCUCCUCCCCAGGCUUGUUUUCUCAGGUGCACAGCCCCUUGAAGGAGGAAGCCAAGGAUCACCUUGCCCUGUCCUCUGCAGGGGGCUGGACCCCACAGAAAACACAUGAAGAUCACCUGGACCUCAGAGCUGCCUUCUGCCCAAGGGGCCAGGGUGGGCACAGAGUAUGUACUUCUAGAAAACAAAGAGGCCGAUUUAUGGAGAAAGUUCAGCUUAGUUAUAAUCAUCUGUAAAGCACAUGGACACUGAGAACGUUUCAACAUCAGCCUAUGAGUAAGGUGAAAGAUUCAUGUGACGUUGGGUGACUUGCCCAAAGUUGCCCAGAACAGCCAGAAGCAGUGCCCAGCCUUGAACCUGGAUGUUCCACCCCUAAACUGGCUCCCCAAGACCGUAAAAUACAGUGUUCACUGUGUUAGAAUCAUCUGAGAUUCUCCUUAGGCUCUGGUGAGAUUAUUGGCCUUGGCCUUUCCCUUCCCCCCAGUGUGAGGAAGGUAGUUGAGUCUGAGGAGGGCUGGGCAGGGAAGGAUGAGGAUGAGAGGGAGCAAGGAAAGGGAGCAGGGGGGGAGGAGGGGUCCUCCGAAAGCUUUCUACUUAACAGCUUUGGUUUUCACAGACUAUUUUUGUUUUCAAGCACCAGCUUGAUAGGGACUGCUUUUUCUGGGGUGUCGGCAGGAUCACAGAGGUUUCCAGGUACAAAGAAAAGAUGCCUAGAGGACUGAGAUCCGGGUUGGUCUCUGGUUACAGGAGGAAGGGGAAAGAAGAGUUUCCAGGCCUCCGAGAACUUUCUGGAUGGCCAUUUCACUCUGCCAGUUAACAUGCACUGGGAAUGGAAUUAAGCCUGAAGAUCAUUUAUUUAUUUGUUUGUUUUUAAAGUGAUCACUUGGGGAAACUUCAGAUACUCACAGCCAUUGGCAAUGUUCUGAUGGGCUUAAGGCAAAAAGCACACUUCACCCCAGCUCUUAUUACAGCCCCACUGCCAAAUCUCACCUCCUAAAACACAGGGAAUUUGAAACGCAGUCACGAAUCCAGGUGUGUUUAGCUACCUCUCUCUUCCCAUUCUCCUGGGUGAUUCGGCCUCCUGUGGUCCUGCUGUGCAGCAGGCCUCUCCACAUGGCCGACACUUGGAGGCUGUUUCCAAACUGCUUUUGGGAAACAGAAUAAUUUGUAUUUUCAAUCUGGGAGAAAAAAUAAAAUGUCAGGCUGAAUGAAGACCAUAGGGCAGAAAGGAUUCCUCUGUCUAAUGACAAUGUGAGGCUCCAUGGAGGUAGGGGAGGGACUAAAAUGACCAGUUAGAGAAAGAGAUUUACUAGCCUCUUAAAUCCAACUUUGGAGGGAAAGGUAAGAAGAAAAGAAGAAGCCCUUUUGGAGACUGGUGGAUAAUUCUCUGUACUUAAACGUUUUGCUCAGCAGAAGAGAAAACCGGGGCUUAGAAGUGACAAAGGGGGACUGAAAUACAGAUCUCAACCUUCUGCUUAAUAAAUGCCAUAAGACUGAGAAAUAGAUUUGCUCUCUUAAAAAAAUAAAAAGGGCAGGGCACUGAACAAUCACCUCCCCUGACAACUGCUCUUUCUCUUGUCUUAUCUGCCAGCAAGCUUCAAUAUUAGCUCACUUCACUACACAAACAAUUCCUAUUACAGGACUCUUAGUCAUCCUGUUUUUCACUUUCUUCCACAAAGCAGAAGCCAUGAAGGUCUGAGUAUCCUCGCUGGGGCAGUCUUUUCCCAGACCCG